GCCUCUGCUGCCUCUGCGUCACGUCCGUGUAACAGAGCAAGUGGUGGCCCCAUUUGGUGCACUCUGUGAGUCCGUGUGUGUAGUGCGCGCGUCACCCGCUCCUAGCUGCAGUGGAAACGUGCCGAGCUGCCUGGGUUUCCGUCCUCCCUCCUCGCUUGCCGCGACACUUCUCGCUGCUGAAGUCAGCCAACUGGGACUCCUGCUGCUUUGUCUCUGGCUGGUUUGUCUCCUCAAAGAUGCUUGCUCUCGCCGCCGUUGUUUUCUGCCACUGCUUAUCACUGCAGUGUGGAUUUCUGUUUCGUCACCUGCAGACUUUUGUGUUUGCGCAUGGGGACCCACACGCCGUAUUUUACCACCUAAAUCUUUAUUGUAUGAUUGAGAAAUGGGAUUAAUUGUCCCUGAGGGCCUGCAGUGGUGGUGCUGGUGUCGGGUGGGUGCGUUCCACUCCUUUUGGUGUGCUGUGUCCUUAGACUGUAUAUAAAGUGGACGUAGCAUCUGGCUCCAAAACUGAAGCCCACCCGGAAGUGUCAAAAACUUGCAAUAUCACACCGUCUGCUAGGGUUGGCUCCAAAAAGCUUUUGCUCCAUAGACCCUAAUUCAUUUAUGGAAAAAAUAAAAUUUGAUAGACUGA